GCCCAAAUGAUGGAACUGGUAGACAUGCACGCUUCAGGUGCGUGUGCCGUAAGGUGUGGGGGUUCGAAUCCCCCUUUGGGCA
rnacentral:tRNA from 1 species